CCCACUCACUCUGAGGCUCUUUACAUCCCAGCAGCUCGUGGGGCUGCUGCAGCCAGCCAGACCUUUUCCUGUCAUCUUUUGCUUUCUGUGGGCCUGCAGACAUCAGCAGGAGGCCUCACUGGAGCAGCCAACGCUCCCACCCGUGCAGGUGGAGCUGCAUACACUGUGCUGGCUGGAGGUGGGUCUUGCAUGCCUGGCUCUCAACGGCACAGUGUGGAGGUGUCCAGGCUGGGCAGGAGGAGUUCAACGCUGGGAAGUAGAGGUCAGCGCUAUCUUGUGCCUGGGCCGCUGGCUCAGCUUCCUGCUCUGGCCUCUGCUAGAAGCUGGAGAAGAGUCCCACGGGGUGGCUGUGCUCCUCACCCGGCUGAACUCCCCCUCGGGGUAAUAAGAGGUUACGUGGGGCACCACGUGUAAUCUGAACGCAAGCGCCAGCUUUGCCACAAGUCCGUCUGGUGAUGGUACAUACAGCUCCCGUAGCUACAGGAGAAUAUCGCUGCCUUGAGAUGCCUCCACAAGCCUUCACCUGGAGCCACGCACCACCUUGUGCUCCGCCUGUGGAACAUCUCCGGGUUGCCACUGGGAGGUGUGAAUGGCUGGAGCUGGAAACCACAGGGUGUAGGGACGCCCUCUGCCAGGGCUGCCGGCACCUGGGGGAGCGUGGCCUCCUCCUGCUGCCAAGCGGAGGGGACCCGACCAGCUCCCUGGUGGGACAGCAGACACGCAGAGAUACAGGCAAGUGUGCUAGGGUGGUGGGAAGCAACCGGAGCGAGAUUCCUGGCUGCUCGCGUUUGUAAACAUCCGUAAAACAGGGAGUGUGUGCAUGUGUGUGUUUUGUGGUGGCGUGAAACCCAAGAUUCCCACUCCAUUAUUUUUGCUGGAAUUGGUAGCAACAGCGCCAGGCAAAUAUUAUGAGCCCUUAAUCCUCCUGACUUUACAGCUGUGAAUGACUUAAAGACCGUCCAGGAUGAGCUCAAUUACAGGACUUCUUUGCUAAUUACUACUGGGGUUUGGGAUCUGAUUUGGUUGUUCGUCAGGAGGGCUUUCUCUUCCUCAGUGGCUCAGGUACUGGGCUACUGUUUGGGUGUGAGGGAUGGGAGGUGGAGGUAGCGUGUGCCCUCUUGAGGAAGGGUCACGAGUUUAGCACUGGUGGCACUGACAAGGUACUGCAGUGGAAAAAGCAGAGGUGUCCUCUCAGCAGACGCAGGGUAAGGAAAUUGGCUGAACUUAAUGGAUCCGAGCUAUAUUUUCCAGUGGAAAUACUAAUGCGGUUAAUGCACAUCAAGCCCAGGCUGGUGUUUUGCUGCCUGCCACGACCACCUCUGGGCCCCGCGGCUGCAGCCGGGCUGGUGCCAGGCUCCGUGGGGCUGGGGUGCAGACGGGUGCAGAAGAGGGCAGGAUUGAGGGGUGGGAGAAAAGAGCAUGAUCCAGAUGGGUGCUUCCUGGUGGCGGUCAGUGAAGGUGCUGGGGGCAGCCCUCGUCCCACUGCCCCCCAAGUCCCGGCCGUGGGGCUGGUGGUGGCACACGGCGUCUCGCUGCAGCCCCGCCUCGUCUGCAGGCCCGGCCUGCCGGGGCAGAGACACCGUCUCUCUCCGAGCGCUUUGGCAUUCAGAUCAAGGGGAGUGCCGGAAGCUUGAGAGAGGCUGUUGGCGGUGUCCGGGGAAAAAAAGGAGCCGACACCUGCUGCAAAUUGAACCGGCAAUUGCCCUUUGUAUCAAUAGGGUGGUUAGUGCAUGAAGCAGAAGAGAUCCUGGAAAUGGGAAGACGUACACUGCAGAAAACAGCACAAAUUCGGGGUUGUUUUCAAAUCCCGCUUCCACACUCGCAAGCCUGUACACACCAGCGUGAUAACGCAGCAGCACAGCCACUCCUGGUCGCCUGUGCCAGUUUCCAGCUGGAGCUGGCUGCUGAUUUAUUCAGCAGACGUCAACUGGUGGAAUGUUUCCAUGAUUUUUUCUCCCCUGAAAGAAUGUGCUAGGACUAAAUGCUUUUGCAUUAUUUAUUUAUUUAUUUAUUUUAAGGAGAAGGUCAAAAACUCUCCAGCAGCCCCUAGGAUCUUGCCCUUUGUCAGCCAUGCAGUGCUGGUGCCAAAACAUGCUGCUUGCUGUGCUGGCAGCAGUUCACCUCCAAUAGGCCCAGUUAUAAACCUCUGAAAAAUACCAUUUUGCUCCUUCACGGUGGAACUUGUCACAGCCUUGUUUUCAAACACACUGGUUGUACUCCACACAUUUCACAGCUCAGUGAGAUAUUUGCAUCGGGGAGGCAGCUUACUUCCCUGCCUAUCCCAUCCCAUCAAAACAUACUUUUAGCACCAGGCAGGAGUCGAGGGUUAAGCCUCCUUUUCUUUUUUUCUUAUUUUUUUCUCCCCCUGACUUCUGUGAACCCAUUACGAUACCGCCUUCGGUUCCACUAUUACAUCUUUUCCCACAAGACCGUUGCCUCAUCCAGACCACAGCGGGGAACGUGCUUUCAUCUCUGCCAGCUGGGUACUGCUGGAGCGCCCAGCCGUGCCCCCAGGAGCUGCACAGAGAAGACACAGAAGAGGCCAGGCGCUGCAGAUUCGUCCGCAGGGCUUUGGUCAGACCCACAUCUGGGAGGGCAUUUCCAGGGAGCCUCCCAUUGUCUCCUUUGUCCCGCCUGAAACAAAGGACCUCCAUGAGGCUGGGUUUCCUCUCUCCUCUUUGAGUUUAGGUGCCUAAAAGUUAGGUGUCUAAACCUAAUUAGUUGGACAGGCUUCUUGCAUAGUCAAUGGAGACAAAUAGGCACCUCUAGUGUGUGAUUCACCUAGACUAUCUUCAGCAUUUAUCUUGAGAAGGGCUGACUCACUCUGGAGCUGAGUGCCCACUUCUCUUCUGCGACUGUAAAGGCAGAUGGGCAACUUGCUUAGAGCUUGGCAGCUAAUUUCGGGAUGCCCCAAGUUCAGCAAGGCAGAUCCCACCCCACAGCCUGGCCGCAGCAGUGGCUCUGCGAAGAGGGCACCGUUGCUGUACACUGUCUGAGACCCCCCCAUCAGAUUUCCCUCAGAGGCUCCAUGUCCAGCCAUACCAAGCAGGGCUGGGUCUUAGUGUGUCCAAAUCACAUUAUCAGCCCGUAUCAUGUUAUCAGACCAAGUUAAAUAUUUGUAAAGCUCUUGGGGGCAGGGUCCACGUCUUGCUACGUGUUUGUAUAUUCCCUCACGGAGCAAAGCCCCAGCACCGGUUGCAACCUUUGUGGACUGGUGCAAUGCGGGAUGGGGAAUCUCUGUGUAAAUCUGCAGGUCUUGACGAAAUGCAGCUGGGAGUGCAAAGAGUGCUCAUGGACAUUGAGAAAUAAGCAGGAGUGAAUCAUAAGAGUCAGGAGAAGCUGCUAAUGUGUGGGAAAAAGGCAAAUGUGCUACCUCUGCACAAACAUAUAAUAAGGAAGUAUGUAAUAAUAAUUAUUGUUAUUGUAAUACGGUCUGGGUGAGCAUUUGGGAAAAAGAUAUCUAAUAACUGACAA